rnacentral:tRNA from 1 species
GCCCGGGUGGCGGAGCUGGCAGACGCACGGGACUUAAAAUCCCGUGGCCGAACAGGCCGUGCGGGUUCGAUCCCCGCCCCGGGCACCA